rnacentral:ncRNA from 1 species
ACCUUAUAUAGAUGUAGUAACGCAAGACAGUUACGCAUUUCCCUGUAAGGUAGUGUUUCAAUAGAAGUGUAAACAACAAGUCUUAUUGUGUGGCUAUAAGUUGAAAUAAGAUGAGUUUAUAUGGAAUAGGUUAACCGUAAGACCUUGAGUUGAAAAACUCUAAAAUGAACCUAGAAAUAAAAGUUCUUGUUUUCUAGUUACGGUCAG